AGUGAACGCUGGCGGUAGGCCUAACACAUGCAAGUCGAACGGCAGCACAGGAGAGCUUGCUCUCUGGGUGGCGAGUGGCGGACGGAUGAGGAAUACAUCGGAAUCUACCUUUUCGUGGGGGAUAACGUAGGGAAACUUACGCUAAUACCGCAUACGACCUUCGGGUGAAAGCAGGGGACCUUCGGGCCUUGCGCGGAUAGAUGAGCCGAUGUCGGAUUAGCUAGUUGGCGGGGUAAAGGCCCACCAAGGCGACGAUCCGUAGCUGGUCUGAGAGGAUGAUCAGCCACACUGGAACGGAGAAACGGUCCAGACUCCUACGGGAGGCAGCAGUGGGGAAUAUUGGACAAUGGGCGCAAGCCUGAUCCAGCCAUACCGCGUGGGUGAAGAAGGCCUUCGGGUUGUAAAGCCCUUUUGUUGGGAAAGAAAAGCAACCAGUUAAUACCCGGUUGUUCUGACGGUACCCAAAGAAUAAGCACCGGCUAACUUCGUGCCAGCCGCCGCGGUAAUAC
rnacentral:rRNA from 1 species